ensembl:lncRNA
ACCAGCUGGACGAGCCGCUGACCUCCGACCCCUGGGCAGCCAGGUGACUGCGUUGCUAGGCAACGACCGCUGUCUAGCCUCCGCGCGCUAUUUAGGCCCGUUCUCGGGUGAGACUGAAGAGGGACCUCACCGCCCGUCUUUGUCCUCUUUGUCCCCGUCGCCAGCGGGGAUCCGGCUCGCGGUCUGCGGUUCCAGUUGGCCCGCUACAGGCCGGGCGACCUGGGCUUCGUGCCCCGGCCAGCGCCGAAGCACCGGCCCGUCGUCUGCAGGGCGGGAGCAGCCGGGUCCGCGGAGUUAAAAAAGAAGCCGUCCAGCUCCGUCAAGCAGGCGGACGCAGCAGUCGGACUUCAGACCUGCGGGAAGCUCCUUACGAGACCCCAAUAACCACCAGCGUCCUCGUCAAGACGCCUUGUCCCACCCGUUUGUACGCCGUCGCCAUCCAGUCCAGCCGCACGUUAGAAAUAAGAAUGAGGACCCAGAGUCUCUCAUGAAUUCAACUUUUGUUUCCGCAUUCCAAAAAAUUCUCACUAAAAGAAGAGUACUAAAACGUGAAUAUGUGGACAAUUUAGAGCUCAUGAAGUUUGGGUUCCUCUUACAUCUUCGGAUUGUGUUUUUUGAUGAGCAAUAAAUGAAAUUGUACCACUCGAGUACUGACGCAUCGACACCAAGUACCAAAAGAGUCACUGCAGCACGGCCCAUUAAAACAAUCAGACAUAUUAUUGGAGUAUUAGUCCUUUGCUUUUUAUGUACGUUAUGACUUAUCAAAUAUGAAUCAUUGUAUUUUAGAG